rnacentral:rRNA from 1 species
UACGAAGGGGGCUAGCGUUGCUCGGAAUCACUGGGCGUAAAGCGCACGUAGGCGGCUUCUUAAGUCAGGGGUGAAAUCCUGGAGCUCAACUCCAGAACUGCCUUUGAUACUGAGGAGCUUGAGUCCGGGAGAGGUGAGUGGAACUGCGAGUGUAGAGGUGAAAUUCGUAGAUAUUCGCAAGAACACCAGUGACGAAGGCGGCUCACUGGCCCGGUACUGACGCUGAGGUGCGAAAGCGUGGGGAGCAAACAGG